AAGAGCAGGGGUGGGAGAGGAGACAGGAAGCCUGCCUGCUGCUGACUGCUUCGCCUGGGUCCAGGGAAGCCGAUGCAGGAAGGGGUGAGUGGCUGCCCUGCGAGGAGCAAACGCACCCUGAGGGAAAAGCUCCUGGAGCGCCCGGCUGGGCUGGGAGAGAGCCUUUACGAAUUGAAAGGAAAACCUGGGUUUGGACGAACAGCCUUUUUUUUUUUAACAAAUCCUUGUCACUGUUUUAUUGUCUUACAUGUCUUCAAAAGAUAUGAAAAAUGGCAAACCUCCACCUUCAUAUUCAAUACAGAGGCACCAUACUACCUACCAUGAGAGAAUUAGAAAUUAUCUCAGAUUAUCACAUUUUGUAGCUUCGUUUCCCCUUUUGUGGAAGAAUGAUGACACUGACUUUCUAUGAGAAGUAUUGAGCUUGCCAAGGAUUUCUACGUCUUGAUGGCAUUAUAAUUACAUUGUAAAGAAUUGCAAGGUGGAUUAUUUGAAUGCCUGGCUUUCCCUCACAGUAUUCAACUACCUGACUUAGAGUAAUGAAACAAGAUUCAUAUCAAGUGGAUAAUGCUCCUACUUCAGAAUCCAACAAAAUAGUUCACAAAACAAAACAAACAGCUUCUCUAAAAACAAAGGUGACUACGUAUUCCGAAACAAGAAGGAAGAGUUGACGCAUCUGGUUAAAACAGUGUAAAAAGUGAACAUCUUGAAUUCCCGGCUUUUCCGUAGACUUCAGGAUUGGCUGAACCAAUAAAUGUGAGUUCAGCCAUUGAAAGACUAAUGUAUAAAUACCCUUUUCAGGGCUGACAGUGAAUAUCAGUACCAAAGCUCUGAAAUCUAUCCUAAAACUAGGGUUAGAAAUAUUUUAUUUCAGUCGCUUUUGUCUGUUUGUCUGUACUGUUUGUGUGGGCACAUCAAUUAGUGCUAGUAGAACCCAGCAAAAGCAGCUCUGAUCUGUUUGAAGCCAAACUCCAUUGCAUCUUGGAGGCAGAGUAAGAGAUCAGCAACAAAAAUAUACUUAUAAUCUGGAUGUCAUUUCUUAACACUGUUCUGCAUUUAACAGAGCAUGGAUGAAACUGGACAUCUACUUCAAAUGUUUGGAGUAGCAGAUCUUUCUGAGAGUGUGCAAGAAGAAGUUGUGCACAAAAAUUACUAUUUUCCUUCAGGGACUGCAGACCUGGUUUUCUUCAGUUUGGUGUCAAUAUUAUAGAUUAAAAUUUAAUAUAAGGCUAUGUUCAACCUACUAUAACCAGGUUUACAGCAGGCAUUUAAAUUGGACUGAUUUACUUCUUUUUACUCUUGCAGAAAUAAUUUGUAAACAUUUCAUGGGAAGUACAUAUUAUUUCAGAGAAAUCUUGCACUUUGUUUAAUUUGGUCCAAACAAAAGAUUCCUAUCUUUUAAUGUGUCUGUAGCAAAAAAUAUGGAGUAAAUUUGCAAUGCCUGGGUUUUCCUCUUCACUGGUACAAUAAAAAUGUGGAUGUAAAUUUUAUAGCAAUCCAUUUCACGUGAACCAGUUACUGAGGGAACAUAUUAACACUGGGACACACAAUGAUGUGAUUUGUAGACAUGAAAGAAUAGCCAGGCAACUCUAAAAUUGCAGCUCAAUGGGACUGUAGAGUCGUAUAGACAGCAGGGUUUUUUCUGGCACUGAAGAGACUGUUUGCAAUCCAGAUAUUUUCUUGUGAAAGCUGUUCUUGGAGGCUGCAUAUGUAAAGGCAAAGUGGUUAUAUUCGUUAUAUUUUGUAUUAAAUGCCACUAAAUGCAAGACAUUCCACAAUGCAAAAAUGUGCAUCCCUUGAAUAUCUGAAAAGUUUGUCUAGCACAUAGUGCUCUAAAUAAUGAGUGGUAUCAGGGAAUUACUAUCUCUUGUGAAAAAGAAAUGUCAAUUGUAUAAGACUGAAUGUGAAUAAAUAAAAGUAUUAAAUAAAUUAAAGAGGAAAAUAAAAAACAUAAGACUGAAAAAAGGGGAAAGGAAAAUGCUAGAUGGAGAAAGAUUGAAAUUCAAGCUAUGCCUAUUGCUCACCAGACUGAAUCACUUAAAGUUUUCCUCCCCUAGCACAUACAUUUUUCUGACAUCUUUUCCCAUUAUUCACCAGUGAGACUUAAGAAAUAUGUACACUUGAACACUCCCACAGAGUAAUACUUCUUUCUACUUUCAUGCUGAGAAAUUUCUUCAGUCACUUCUAGAAAAAGGAACUGGUAUUGUUACAAGGCAAAUACUAUGUUCAAAGUUUGUUAGUUUAAAAAGUGGGCUUUAAAAAAACUUCUCAAUGAAAGGUAUAGUGGAUUGAACACUGAAAUAAUAUCAUUAAGCACUAAACUCCUUUCAAGCUUCUAUGUUGCACAGAGGCCCCUGAAAACAACCUGGCUGCUCACAGACAGCUGCCCAACAGGGCUUUACCUGACCAUUUCAUCUGGGCUGCCCGGGUGUAGUUCUAGGGUUAUGCAGGGUAUGACAAGAGCGGAAGAGUAAAGGCUAUCACAGGCAUGUGUAGCUUGUGUAGCUUAUCUAGGAUGGGCCCAGAGGGAAGCACAAGGCUCAUGGGAAUUCAUAAAUUAGCAGGCAAAAAAUUGUUUACUAGAUAUGCACUGUUUGGGGGUUUUUCAUAAGGUUUGUUACUCAAGUAUUUAUUCACUUUAUUUAACAAAAUUUUAUUUGCUGUACUUAACAAAUAAUACUGCUCUUUGGAGCAAGUUAUUCAGUAAGCAAGGGAUUUAUUUUUCCUCCAAAUUCAUUCAGCUUUGCACAUAAUUUAAAAGAAAGCUUUUUUUUUUUUUUCCAAAAGAAGCAGGAAGUUCUAAAUGCUUAUUUAAGAGGGCAAUGAACGCUUCUCAGUAUGAAGUAAAGUAAAAUAAAUACCAUUCUCAGUCACAUAUUGUCCAGACAGACACAGUAUAAAUAGAUUAUAUGAGAGGCCGUGAGAAAGCUGCCUGCAUUAAUAGGCUGAGAUAUGAAAAUUGCUUGAAUAUUAUAGUGUGUUUACUCAAGGGUAUUUUCAUUAUGUAGAUACACCUCUUUUGCCUUAUGAUAGAACACUGAAGAAUAAGAUAUUAUUUUUUUCUCCCAAAUCAGUUGGAAGGAAACUUUUCUGUAGUAUUAAAAAAAAAAAAUGUUGUCAUGUGUAGGUAUUUUCGCACUGUUCUUUAUCAACAAAUAUUAUGGUAGAAAAGACUUAGAAAUACAUUUUCCAAAAUAAGUGUCAAUGAUCAGAAAUAAAUGUUUUCCUGCAAACCCAAAAUUUUCUACCAAAUUUUUCUUUUUGCAUUUUGAAGGUUCUAUUGACAAGCUUUUGUAUGAGUAGAUGCCUAAAAUUAAAGGACUCUAGCAAACUCUUUCAUCUUUCUGCACACAAGGGAAUUGGGUAUUUUCCUUAAUUUCAGAGGGUGUCGGAUAAGACCAUAAAUAAAUAGGUCAAUUUUGUGCAUCGACCCAGUUGUGUUUGCUCAGUGGGAGAUGUGGGAAUUCAGCACUUCUAAAAUGAGACCACAUAUCUGGAUACAAGCAAGCACUUUGGGAACUCUAUUAGAAAAUUUAAGCUACUGUGAAAUCAUGUAUGAAUAUAACAUUACAGGAAAAGUAACUAGAUAUUUUAUGUACUGAAAAAGAAAAGAUUUAGCUCACAUACAUUUUAAUAAAGAUUUGUAAUUUACUUCUGCAGAACACGUUUAAAAGGACCGCUAAUUUCAAUAACAUGGACUUUGUCCAUACUGCAUUUUUCUCCACCAAUGUAUUAAAGGAUAUUAGUGGCAGAAGGAAGAAAAUCAUUGACACAGAAACAGAUUGUGGACCCUCAAGCCAAUCCGGGAACCUGUUACUGUGACAUGAAGAGGAGGAGGAGGAGGAAGAGGAGGAGGGGGAAGAUCAACUGCUUGCCAUGUGGCAGAGCGCCACUCUCCACAGUUGUGAAGAAACGAAGCAAGCUGUUAGUGGAGAAUUGUGUCCUCUAAAGGCACCAGAAGUCCUCUGUUGCAUUAUGCUAAGCCUCAUAGCCUCAUACUCAAAAAUUAUAUUAAAUGUGGAUGGUUGUUAGAUAUUCAAAGACAAGAAUUUCUGAAGUGCUAAGCUCUUAUUGCUACCCACUGACUUCACAAGACUUGUGGAUAUUACAUGCUUAAGUGAGGACUAUCAAAUUAAGCAAAAGCAUCUAUAAACAAUAAAGCAGAAAUAAUUCCCUCUGAAAAUGCAGCCUUUACCUCUCUUGUCUCAUCCAGGAGCAUAAGAGGAAUCAUAUCUACUGCCCUCUUUCACACAUAAACAGCAUGAAAACAAUUACCAGAAGUAAGCUUGAAAAAUAUUUGUCACACGAAGACUGCUGCAUUUCAGUGUCAGAGAUCUUUAAUCUGUCUUUAAAACCCCCUUAAAAUGUUUCCAAAAAACGGUGCUGAGGAGUGUACAGGAACUGGGAAAAACAGACGAAAGAAAAUGAGGACAAUCACAUGUCCAUUAUUAAUUUACUUCUUGUAUUUUUAAUAAAUUUGCAACUUAUUAUACCACCAA